CAGGCAGAUGCUUUUACCACUGAGCCGCCAGGAAACCUGGAUCAGCAGUGGUGGAAUUUUCCAGUGGAUUCCAAGUCCCAUGAAGAGAGGCUUGGGAACCUGUACUCUUCUGGGUGCCUGGAAAAAGUGCUCACCAGUGACUAUGAAGCAAUAGAUUUGCAGUCUGAGCCCUGCUUCCUUCACCAGAUCUUGAUUGGUAUGUCUUUCAAAAGGCCAUGAGGUUCUGCUUUCAAGGAUGGUCAGUCAGAGGUGGCACUUUGCUUCCAACAGAGUCCAUGGAUCCUUAGAGAACUGUUUUUUACUGACUAAAGAAAUGGUAGGAUUCCUUGGUGGCUCAGAGAGUAAAGAAUCUGCCUGCAAUGCAGAAGACAUGGGAGACUUAGGGUUGAUCCCUAGGUUGGGAAGAUCCCCUAGAGAAUGAAAUGGUAACCCAUUCCAGCAUUCUUGCCUGGAGAACCCCACGCACAAAGGAGCCUGUCGGUCUACAGUCCAUGAGGUCACAAAGAGUCGGACAAGACUGAGUGACUAAGGACACAAAGAAAUGGCAAGUCAGCUUUCAAAAUGAGAAGAAACUCUAAGAAGAACAGUGAGGAUGCAAGGUUUCCCAAACUGUCUCCCUUCCCACCCGCUACCCGCCUCCUCCCCAAACACAUACUACACCUUUCUCCAAAACUCAAAUCCAUCUUGUGUAAGCAGACUGGGAAUGUCUAACUUCAGAGGGAGAGCUAAUCCAGACUAUCGCAUCAAUUCUCCCAGCCAUGUUCAUAGAACAGGGAUUAGGGGUCUUAAAGCACAGCAGAACUGGAGCAGAUUUGGCAAAUCAUUCAUCUGUCCAGGUAAGACCUGAUAAUGCUAUCAUCAGACACUGCCUAAUUUACAGAGUGGGUUGACUGAGUGGAAUCAGAAAUCAGUUCUCUGAAUUAAAUUUUUUUUGCUGC